AAGAACAAUAGGCAUGUAAUGGUGACGUUUGAUGCAAACACCAAAGCGAUUGGAGUCACCACCGAGACAGCUGCUCCCGCCCAAGCAGAUAGGUGGUUGUUGGCUUAUGAUGCGAACAGCAACUGAGAUGGCUGGCCCUGCACAAACAUGUAAUUUAGCAUGUCAGCACCAAGGUGUUAAAAAUCAGUCUUCCUGAAUGUGUACUAGCAGGGGAUUCUGAUGGUAGCUAUGUAAGA